ACAGAAUGAUGAGAUUCCACUUGGUCUGUGUUUUUGAAAAAUUAUGAUAUUAGUGGAAGUUCUGAUGU